GACGAACGCUGGCGGCGUGCUUAACACAUGCAAGUCGAACGGAAAGGCCCUGCUUUUGUGGGGUGCUCGAGUGGCGAACGGGUGAGUAACACGUGAGUAACCUGCCCUUGACUUUGGGAUAACUUCAGGAAACUGGGGCUCAUACCGGAUAGGAGCUCCUGCUGCAUGGUGGGGGUUGGAAAGUUUCGGCGGUUGGGGAUGGACUCGCGGCUUAUCAGCUUGUUGGUGGGGUAGUGGCUUACCAAGGCUUUGACGGGUAGCCGGCCUGAGAGGGUGACCGGCCACAUUGGGACUGCGAUAGGGCCCAGACUCGUACGGGAGGCAGCGGUGGAGAAUAUUACACAAUGGGCGGAAGCCUGAUGCGGCAACGCCGCGUGCGGGAUGACGGCCUUCGGGUUGUGAACCGAUUUCGCCUGUGACGAAGCGUGAGUGACGGUAAUGGGUAAAGAAGCACCGGCUAACUACGUG
rnacentral:rRNA from 1 species